AGUAAAAGUCAUGAAGCUGUUCAGCCGUGUUAGCAUGCUGGGUUCAGGGAGUUCUGGACAGAGGAGCAGAUGUGGAUCAGCAUCACUGCGCCUGAUUCUGGGAUGAACGUCUUCAGUUAUGCCCACCAGCUGUAAACCUGUUGUGUCACCAGAGCUGCUCCCGGCUGAAUGGCUGUUUCUGUAAAGGAUCAACCUGCAGACUCUCCAGCACAAGUGUUGGUGGUCAGAGUUCCUAAAGCUGGGAGAUAAUUGCCACGGAUACAAGGCUAAUCUGUGGAUUCUCCAGGCUGUUAAAGCUGGCUGGACGUCAACAUUGAUGGACCUGCAAUCAAACAUAAGUCAGCUGUGUAGGGUGUUUUUU